UGGUAAUCAUAUAUAUCCUACUAUAUAAAAGGGACUAAAUUGGAGCUUCCUAAACACUGCCACAUGGGCAAAAAUAUUGAGAACCAAUCAAUCUGCCAUGUCAUUCUGGACUGGACUUAAAAUUAAAAAAAUUUAGUGAACUUUGCAGUCCAUUUGACCCAUCUCGCAGCCCAAUCUCGAGCCUCUCUUGAUAGUGAUGUUGCACAAUCCCGUGUUCUAAACACAUAGCUCCUUCUCCACCUAACCCUAAUCGCCGUCUCAUCCCUUCAUCGAUUCUCUUCCUCUCCCCCAAGCGGCUUCCGGCGCCGUUCCCGUAGUCCUCUAACAGGAAGCUGACACCUUCACCGAUGGACCACCAGACCGAUGGUGCUCACCUGGGGAUCUACCGCACCAGAGAUCCAACCGAACCGCGAGAGAAAUGUACCACUUUGACGACGACGGACAGCUUACUCCUCCGUCUUGAUGAUCAGGUACCGGGUGGGGGAGACGAGAGGAGCUCCGGCGAGGCUGCCGGAAGACGCAGCGCCUCGACCCACGGAGAACACGAAGCUUGAAGUUAGAGGCUUGAACGAAGAUGCUUGUGGCUUUUAUUUGUCUACCAUCCUGCUGUUUUGUAAUACAGGAUUGGAUUCUAUCAUCCUGAUGUUGUGACUGUGAUACAUUUUACUGAAGCGAUCAAAAGGAAAAAAUGAUUGAAGUAUAACACUUUGCUUCCGGGUUUGUUGUCAAAACUGAUGGGUGUGAGAGUGAGGCCAAUGAGAUGUUUGGUGAGAUACAAAGGAAAGAGGAGAAAUGGGUUUAGAUUGAUUAUUUCAAAUCUCAUUACAGUUCUUAUCCAAUGUGGUUCACAGUGAAAACAGGGAAUGAUGCAACUAGGUUUGCCGUGAGUUCUCUCAUUCACAUGUUUUCAAAAUGUGGGAGUUGUUUAAAUUAGUUUGUAAUGUCUUUAACAGGUCGUCUGUUGAGUUUGUUGCUGGUGUGAAUUGAAAUGGGACGAGCACACUAUCGCGGCUGUACUAUGCACAUGGGAUUAGCUGAGACUAAUUCUCGACAAGUGGAACAGAACGAAGAUUGAAAUGUGUAGUGGAGGCCAAGUAGGCACAGACCAAAGAAACAUAGAUCUUGAACCAGACCAUUGACGCAAAGAAGGGAAAUAGCCACUGGAGUAGAAGUCACUGAGAAGCUGGUCUUUGUGCUGGAACGCGUUCAUUAACCAAUCAUUGAUUUACUUUUCUUGAUUUGGGAUUUGGCUUUGGCUGAUUCGACGGAUGUGGAUGUGAACUUCUGAUGGUUCAAUACCGUAGACAUUGUCUAAGAAAGACUGUGUAAUAAUUUUUACGAAUUCGAAUGAAUGGUUCCAUUGA